GCUCGGCUAGCUCAGUUGGUUAGAGCGUCGUACUAAUAUAAGCUCGUCAGUUUAUACAUAGUCAUGCGAAGGUCCUCAGUUCAAUCCUGUGGCUGAGCA